AGAGUCCUAGCUAACCGCCCUGUAUAUACCAUGGGCUCAUCAUCUUCCCUGGUUCCAGCUCAGAACAGAGACUCAGAGGAACAAGGGCUCUGCGCUCACCCUGCCUGGACCUUGCCCAGACUCAACUUCCCUCUUCCCCAUGGACCCAAGUUGCUGAGCUUCCAACAGGUGUUUACAGCAAAGGAGAAUGAGACAGAGAGAAGCAGAGAUGCAGAGAGAAAGACAGACAGAGAAGACUAAACUGAUUGAUCCCAACUCCAUUAUGAUAUCUGACUCCAACCACAGAAUGACCCUGAUCCAGCCACAGACUGACUUCUGAUCCUGGCCACAGUCCACCUCCUGUCCUCAGCCACAGAACAGCUCUGACUCAAGCCAGGAACUGAGUCCCGACCCAUGUUACUGACUUACUCAUGAUCCUGGUUGCAGGCUGGCCCCAGCCACAUGCUGACCCCUGACCCUCACCACAGAUGGAUCUUUGAUCCCAGCUAUAGGCUGAUCUCUGAUUCUGGCUGCCCUGAACCACCACUCCUAUAUACUGAUGACCCACCUUAGCGUGAUCCCACCCAGGAACUGGCAUUUCCUGGGACAGGCUCUUGGCCACCUGCUGCUCUGCCCUGGGCACACCAGGCCCUACGCAUCCUCCCCCUUCCACCACCAUCCAUGAUUUCCUGAUUUCUAGCAGCAAAUUUAGCUUGAGUUGGUCAACAUAGCUGGGCUGCCUGACCUUCCUCUCUGCCAUGGAACCACAGAGCAAGUCAGCAGUUCUCCUUCCUAAUCAAAAAGCAGCAUGGAGGAGAAGGCUCCUUUGCCACCUUCCUUUCUGCUUUGGAUGGUGCUUUUGCAAUCAUGAGGAGACAAGCCUGGAGAUGAAAGGAGGCAUUCUGAAUAUGGUGGAGUGGAAGAAGAAGAAGGCCUGCCUGGGGCUUUGAUUACAUCACCAAGUGAUCAAACCAAC
rnacentral:lncRNA from 1 species